UUUAAUAUUUUAUUUAGCUUGUCUUAAAACCAAAUUUGGGCCUUUAUUUUCUUUCCUCCAGCCCAUUCAUUUUCUAGAUUACCCAGCCCACAUACAAUACCCAUUCUCCAAAGACCCAGUGUAAACAAACCCUGCAUCGUUCUUCUUCUUCCCAAUUUGGAACCCAGCAAAGUCGAAGUCCAGUAUUUCAAGAAGCAACUCAGCGACCCAAACCCAAAUCUGACCCCCACUCAUACUAGAAUUGGCCAAGUGUUGCUAUCUCACUUCUCCUUCGUCCUUUGUUCAGAAAUCGAGCGGCCUCCGUUCUCUGUCCGUUGGGAGAGGUACAAUUGAUAGCAGGCUGACCUUAUCCUUUUAGAGGGGAUUAAAAAAUUUUCAAAUUGGGGUUGGGGGGGGGGCUUUUUUUUUCUGUCGGUUUCCCCCCCUAAUUUUUCCUCAUCUUCUCCUAUUUUAACCUCUCUUCUUUCUCAAUUGAAGGAGGUUUUUUGGGGGUUGAGUGACAAAACAGAGAGAAUUUUUUUAAACAAAAAAUUAGCUAAAACCCAUACUAUAUACUCUUCAAGAAAAAAGAAAAGAAACAGAGGAGAGAUAGCUUUCAAUUUUUUUUCUGCCUGAAUUUGUCAAACUUUUCUCUAGUCGGGACUCGUGUGGUCGAAGUCGUCAUUGCUUAGCUCUUUCAUCCUGUUCGCUGCCCCCGAAAAGUUAGAAAAUCGCAUGUUGAACGUUGGAAGGAGUUUGCUGAUGUGAAAUUCAAAAGGUCAAAGGUUACUUGUAGUAGAUGGUUUCAAGUUGGACAUAACAGGAAGACAUGUUCAAAUUAUCCUGUUAAAAAAUAAUUUCAUGAUUUUUACUUUUUGUUACACAACAUGUUUUGUUUUAUGGAAUAGAAAUGGUAUAAUUAAUAUUUGAGUAAUUAUGAUUUCUUAAUAUUGUCCACCUAUAAAUAAUAUUGAAACA